UACGUAGGUGGCAAGCGUUGUCCGGAUUUACUGGGCGUAAAGAGCGCGCAGGCGGUCGGAUAAGUCGAAUGUGAAAGCCCCCGGCUCAACUGGGGAGGGUCAUUCGAUACUGUUCGACUCGAAGGCAGGAGAGGGAAGUGGAAUUCCCGGUGUAGUGGUGAAAUGCGUAGAUAUCGGGAGGAACACCAGUGGCGAAGGCGACUUCCUGGCCUGUUCUUGACGCUGAGGCGCGAAAGCUAGGGGAGCAACCGGG
rnacentral:rRNA from 1 species